rnacentral:tRNA from 1 species
GGGGAUGUGGCUCAGUGGUAGAGCGUUCCCCUAGCACAGGCAAGGCCCUGGGUUCAGUCCUCAGCACCACA